CACGAAGUUAGCCGGGGCUUCUUCUCAGGUUACCGUCAUUAUCUUCACCUGCGAAAGAGCUUUACAACCCUAGGGCCUUCAUCACUCACGCGGCAUGGCUGGAUCAGGCUUGCGCCCAUUGUCCAAUAUUCCCCACUGCUGCCUCCCGUAGGAGUCUGGGCCGUGUCUCAGUCCCAGUGUGGCUGAUCAUCCUCUCAGACCAGCUAUGGAUCGUCGCCUUGGUAGGCCAUUACCCCACCAACUAGCUAAUCCAACGCGGGCUCAUCCAUCCCCGAUAAAUCUUUCCCCCGAAGGGCGUAUACGGUAUUAGCUCCAGUUUCCCGGAGUUGUUCCGUAGGGAUGGGUAGAUUCCCACGCGUUACUCACUCGUCUGCCGCUCCCCUUGCGGGCGCUCGACUUGCAUGUGUUAAGCCUGCCGCCAGCGUUCGUUCUGAGCCAGGAUCAAACUCU
rnacentral:rRNA from 1 species